rnacentral:rRNA from 1 species
UACGUAGGUGGCAAGCGUUGUCCGGAUUUACUGGGCGUAAAGAGCGCGCAGGCGGUCGUUCAAGUCGAGUGUGAAAGCCCCCGGCUCAACUGGGGAGGGUCACUCGAUACUGAUCGACUCGAAGGCAGAAGAGGGAAGCGGAAUUCCCGGUGUAGUGGUGGAAUGCGUAGAUAUCGGGAGGAACACCAGUGGCGAAGGCGGUUGCCUGGGGCUUUGCUGACGCUGAGGCGCGAAAGCGUGGGGAGCGAUCCGG